rnacentral:rRNA from 1 species
GACGAACGCUGGCGGCGUGCUUAACACAUGCAAGUCGAACGGAAAGGCCCUGCUUUUGUGGGGUGCUCGAGUGGCGAACGGGUGAGUAACACGUGAGUAACCUGCCCUUGACUUUGGGAUAACUUCAGGAAACUGGGGCUAAUACCGGAUAGGAGCUCCUGCUGCAUGGUGGGGGUUGGAAAGUUUCGGCGGUUGGGGAUGAACUCGCGGCUUAUCAGCUUGUUGGUGGGGUAAUGGCUUACCAAGGCUUUGACGGGUAGCCGGCCUGAGAGGGUGACCGGCCACAUUGGGACUGAGAUACGGCCCAGACUCCUACGGGAGGCAGCAGUGGGGAAUAUUGCACAAUGGGCGGAAGCCUGAUGCAGCAACGCCGCGUGCGGGAUGACGGCCUUCGGGUUGUAAACCGCUUUCGCCUGUGACGAAGCGUGAGUGACGGUAAUGGGUAAAGAAGCACCGGCUAACUACGUG